CACAAGAGACCCAAAUUAACUGUAAUACGGCGUAAAGAGUGGUACCAUGCUAUCCCAACAACUAAGAUCAAAGUGCAACUAAGCCGUCAUAAGCCCAAGAUGCAUCUAAAAACACCCUCAAGACGAUCUUAGCACUUCCGACUGAUUAAAUCCCACGAAAGCUAGGGCACAAACUGGGAUUAGAUACCCCACUAUGCCUAGCCCUAAAUCUUGAUACUCUCUCCCACUAAAGUAUCCGCCCGAGAACUACGAGCACAAACGCUUAAAACUCUAAGGACUUGGCGGUGCCCCAGAUCCACCUAGAGGAGCCUGUUCUGUAAUCGAUAACCCACGAUACACCCAACCCCCCCUUGCCAAAACAGCCUAUAUACCGCCGUCGCCAGCCCACCUCCCCUGAGAGUCCAACAGUGAGCGAAAUAGCCCCACCCCGCUAGCAAGACAGGUCAAGGUAUAGCCUAUGGGGCGGAAGAAAUGGGCUACAUUUUCUAAGAUAGACAACUUCACGGAAAGGGACAUGAAACCAUCCCCAGAAGGCGGAUUUAGCAGUAAAGUGGGAUAAUAAAGCCCCCUUUAAACCGGCCCUGAGGCACGUACAUACCGCCCGUCACCCUCCUCACAAGCUACAUACAUACGUAACUAACUCCCACUCACCAGCUGAAGACGAGGUAAGUCGUAACAA
rnacentral:rRNA from 1 species